rnacentral:rRNA from 1 species
CUUAUUGGAGAGUUUGAUCCUGGCUCAGGACGAACGCUGGCGGCGUGCUUAACACAUGCAAGUCGAGCGGUAAGGCCCUUCGGGGUACACGAGCGGCGAACGGGUGAGUAACACGUGGGUAACCUGCCCUGUACUCUGGGAUAAGCCUGGGAAACUAGGUCUAAUACCGGAUACGACCUGCUAUCGCAUGGUGGGGGGUGGAAAGUUCCGGCGGUACGGGAUGGACCCGCGGCCUAUCAGCUUG